AAUCCUGCUCAGUACGAGAGGAACUGCAGGUUCUGACAUUUGGUGUAUGUGCUUGGCUGAGGAGCCAUCUGUGGGAUUAUGACUUUAUGCCUCUAAGUCAGAAUUCCC